GACGAACGCUGGCGGCGUGCUUAACACAUGCAAGUCGAGCGGAGCGGCGCACGGGUGAGUAACGCGUGAGUAACUGCCCCCCUCUCUGGGAUAACAGUUGGAAACGGCUGCUAAUACCGGAUAGUGGGGGAUGACUCGCGUCCUAUCGGCUUGUUGGUGGGGUAGUGGCCUACCAAGGCGAAGACGGGUAGCCGGCCUGAGAGGGCGACCGGCCACAAUGGGCUGAGGGACGGCCCAAACGCCUACGGGAGGCAGCAGGGGGGAAUAUGGCACAAUGGGGGAAAGUCUGAUGAAGCAACGCCGGGUGCGGGAUGACGGCCUUCGGGGGGUAAACCGCUUUCAGCAAUGACGCGGUAGUGGCAGAAGAAGCACCGGCUAACUACGUGCCAGCAGCCGCGGUAAUUC
rnacentral:rRNA from 1 species